UCAAAUGAGACCUAGGGUCUUCUUCUCUGGGCAAGAAAACCCAGAGACAUUCACCUUCCGCCGUUAGACGACCACGUCCUAGCCGCAAUUCGAAUGGCCACCGAGAGCCGCCGUCGGCGGCGUCACCAAUGCCUUCACCGGAAGAGCCACCGCCCUUCACGCCGGACCACCAUCUCGUCCUCUCUUCUUCGCGUGAGACCGACCCCAACUCCGAGAUGCCCCCACUCCCGCCGCCGUCGACGAAAUCAACUAUACAAACCGGAAGUCGAGGCCGCGCUGGCGACGUUGCUCGCCGCCGGAGUCGUCGCCGGCUGCCAGGUUGUCUCCUUUCCUCACGCGCGAGAUCACCAGAACGCCACCAAUCACAGCGUCUAGGUCCUCUUAAUCAACUUUUCUUCUUCAGCAUGCGUAGGAAAUUCUAAGACAGGCACAUCAUAAACACUUGUCUCCAUGGAACAAGAGGUUCGACCAACUGGUUUCUCAUGCCCAAGGGGUUCACACAAAGCGGUCCACCAUAGGCUAUUUCUUUUGUUGGCAACGAGGGUGACGCAGUCGGAGUGGCAGUGGUUGGACCUAAAAACGACGCCGAAUCGAUCUAGAUCGCAGGGGGGCGGUGGCGGCGUGCGUCACUUUGACGGCGCCGGAGGCAAGGCCAAACACCAAAUUCUGUUGCCCUUGUUUGAAUGUAUUGGAUAAGGUGAGCUGUUUCGAAGACGAGCUUCGAACCUACUGGUAUGGGGUUACUGAUUUGGUCUAUCGGUUCCGUUUGGUAUAGGGGAAAGGAGGUCUCUGAUUGAGUGUAGCUUCAACGUAUACCACUACCCAGAUUGAGGGGAACCUAUGGUUUACUAGAGGAACAAAAAAAAGCUUCUAUUCUUUCGGUUCUUUGCAUAAGAAAUACAUCUGUUUUUGCUUUUGUUUGCCUUUUGCUGCAUUUUUCUAUGGUGUUUUUUUCUAGGUGCAAAUAGAUAGGUAUAUUGGUUUUGAUGUUAGGGAAUAUGCACUAUGUCCUAUUGUCAGUUAAAUAUGAUGGGUUUUACAAGCAUUGAAACUGCAUUUUGGGUGCAGUUUUCUGAUUGACAGAGGAUAUCACAGAGUAAACGAACAUAACCACAUACACGCAUAUUUCAUUCAUAUUCCAGACAUGUAACAGAGACAUAUAACAGGGGCAUGUAACAAAGCAGCAGGCAUUCACAAAGACCAAGAGCUUGAAGAAGACAACCUACCUUCGCCGCUUCAAAGAACUGGUGAAGUCAAAUGGUUCUCCUCUUCUCUGGCUGUGAGGUGUUCCUUCUUCCCAAGUGGUGAUGAUCAGUGAUGGCAAUGGUAGUGGGUCUCCAAUGUUUUUGUGAGGGUCCGGUGUUUCUUCAAUAGUGAGGUUGAUAAUGAGGUGUUGGAUAUGAAUGAUGUUAUUUUGUUCUGAUAGUAUUUUUUUUGUGCUCUUGGUGUGAGUGAUGGUGAAUGAAUAAUGCUCUUCUCCUCUCCCUGCUUUCUGACUCUUCAAGGCCUAUCCCCAGGAUCUCCCCUUUGUCCUUCUCUUUUGUUUUGCGUUCGAUUUCAUGUUUGUCUUUUUCCUUUUCUCAUGUAUUCAUUGUAUUAGUUGACAAACAAAAUAUUCCAAAUAUUUCUCCUUUUAUGAAUGUUCAUGACUCUGCAUAAAGAUUUUAGCAAAAAGAGCCCAGACUUUUUGAUGCUCCAACCACAUAUACACGUUUUAAGAAUAACGUGUAAUGUUGGAUGGUGAGCGUUGCCUGGUGUUCUGCGGGUUGCCUGGUGCUCUGUUGCAUGAGGAUCAGCCUUGUACGUUAACAUGCCACAGGAAAGCUUAUUUCGGUCUUGCGUGACAUUAAGGAUGGGAAGUCUGCCAUACCUUUUUUUUCUUGUUUUCUCUUUUUUUUUUCUUAGAUUUUUUUUGUUUUGUUAACAUUUAUCAUAAAAUAAACUAAACAAUAAAAGAGAAAUUGACGUAAAUAAAGUUAAAUAACUCUAAAUAAUAAAGUAAAAUUAAAAAUAAAAAUAGAAUUAAAAUAAAA
rnacentral:lncRNA from 1 species